GGAGGACGAGGUGCAGGGAGGGGUGUAGCACUUCCAUCACUCCUGAGGUGCUGCCCCCAGGAGCCUGCCUGUGUUCAUCUCCAACAGCUCUCCAAACCGUGUCCUUUGGGUUUUCAUGGAGGCGUCAUUGCAUAGGCAUGACUGAUAAACCAUUGGCCCUUGGUGAUCAACUUAACCUUCUGCCCAACCCCUCCCUAGUGGUUGGGGCUGAAAGUCCCUGCAAUCCUACCUUCCUCUUCCCCAUGCCCACCCGCAUCCUGAAGCCCUGGGGGCUGCCAGCCAGCAGUCAGCUCACUAGUACACAGAAAGAUUUCACUUACCGCUUUUAAGAUUCCAAGCAUUUUAGGAGCUAUGCACCAGCAAAGGGGGAGGAAGGUCACUUCACAAUACCAUGGUAUGGAUAUCGAGAUACUAUUGUACUGUCUUAUCAGCAGCAUAAUAAUCUAAAAUUAGGCCCUGUGUUCUCUCCCAGGUGUUUGAGGUCAGUCAUCAGAAUUGGAUGCUAGAGCAGACCCUCCUCCCAGUGCUGCAAGGGAGAGGCCUCGCCACUUUCACGGAUGCCAAGAAAAAUCAAGUGGCCACAAGACAACUCAGCCACAGUAGAGACAUUAGUUGUUUUUGUUUGGGGCUGUGGGGAUUAAACCCAGGGCUUCAUACCAGCUAGGCACAUGCUCUACCACUGGGCUAUGCCCGGCCCAGCAGGCAUUGUAUCAGCAUGCCACUGACCUUCAAAUGGGACCAAAGACACACUAAAAUACAGAGAACACACAGAAGCAGACAUUAUGCCAGCGAUUUGUCAGCAAGUGUAAGCGUGAACAGCAGACUGGCGCAGGUCUGGUUGUACCGCGGGGACACACUGCCUUCGGUGGAAGAGCCUUCUAACCCCAGGCCUGGAACUUGUCGUGAAGUAAAGAAGGUGCACCCGGAGCCUGAGAAGCACCAUUUACUUCUGAAAUGAAGAAGGAGGAACCAAGAAAGUGUCCUUGGUUAGAGUGAAUGGAGAACGUGAGCUGUAGCGUAGGGACUUUUCUAGGCACAGCUAGUGUGUGUGGGACACAGCCAUACAAGGGGCACCUAGAGGCAGAUGUGCCAUAUUCAGAGCAUGAUGUGGGGUGGUGAGUCCUCAGGGGAAAGGCCAGCUCCCGGAGGUCCCUGCAGGUCUCUGUACCUGCUGGUCCUCAUUGGCGAAGUGGGGACACUGCAGUCAACCUCUGUGGGCUGUGUGUGAGGACUGAGAUGAUAAAGCUAAGGAGCUAACACAGUCCCUGGCACAAGGAGGCUCUGAACAAGAGUUAGAGAGACUAGUGUUUCUUCUAAUGGCCAGACAACGGCCUCGGGACUGAAACCAUGUCAAAGGAAAGCCACCUGAUGUGGAGAGCACACCACAAAGUGGACGUGUCCGGGCAUGAAGAGUGAGGAGCCAGGGGCAAAGGGGAGCUGAGUCAGCCGUGCUCCAAGUCUGGGGAGACAGAAAACCACAUCCAGACCCACAAAGAGGCCGUAAGACGAAGACAACCUGCUUGACUUGUAUGAUGACCAACUGAUAGAAUUUGCUCAAAAUAUCAUAUUUUCACAUUUAUAAAAGCUGGGGAAAGUGAAAAUUAGUACUUAUAGAAAGAUUCAAAGAAAUUCAAUCCAAAGGUAGGAUGUUUGUAGAGGCUGCUUGCUGAAGUGGUUUUAAAUUUGGGCAGGUUAGAAAUCUUAAAUAAAAAUUACAGGAGGCCAUUGUUUUGGAUUGGGCUCCUGCACUAGGCCCUACAGGCCAGGCUAAAAAUCAAAAUGGAGGCAUUUAUGCUAAAGUUCCAAAUCACCAGCUGAAACUGGGAAUAAGGGUCAGAGGGAAAACCACCAAGUUUCCCAAACAGGCCAGUUUCAACUGGUGUGAUGAUGAAGAUCCCUCUGCCUUGAUCAUCACUCAAAAAAGGUGACCUGAGAUGACCCGCUCCCUGCCCCUGCCUUCAGGGAAAGUGACUUUGCAAUGACCAAUCUGCUUUUGCUCUUUGCUUCUCCUCAAGCCCUCCCUGUUUGUAAAACCAGCCUCCCUCGCCUGGUCCCGCCGACCACUACUUCUCUCAUAUGGAAUAAAGUGUUGCCCAAUCCCAGGAUCAUUACACUAGUGAUUUUAUCCUUUGACAGAAGGACCCCAAAAUUGAC
rnacentral:lncRNA from 1 species